UCCCAUGUGGUCUAGCGGCUAGGAUUUGUCGCUUUCAAGUGUGCUGGUACACUGAGAACCGACAAGGCCGGGGUUCGAUUCCCCGCAUGGGAA